GGUGGUGGUGGGUUUUGGGCCUACCUCUUAUUUUUCAGCAGUCAAGCUCAGCAGCAGCCAGGCUUCUUCUUAGUCUUCUCAAGGUAACCAUUUAAAAGUCUCUUACCUUGUGGCAUUUCCUUCUGAGAGAUAUAUGGCUUGCUCCAUCAAUCCAGGAACGCCGGGAGUUGUUUACGGGAAGCCUGUCGGGAAGAGGCUCAAUGGCUGGCUCUCGUUGGUCGGGAGAGGCGACCGGUAUCCGUCGAAGGUGCGUGGAAUGCUUCCGCUGGUGGAGCCCGAGCUAUUGCUGAGCGUCUCGAUGCUUCCUUCUCGCUGUAGCUCUGUAGUGGGGAGAGAAAAGGCGGCACCACUCUGGUCAGUGCUUCAGCUGAAGAGGCCAGAGACCAUCUUGGCUGUGAGUCCUGGGAGAUCUGCUCCCUUCCUUGCAGGCUUUUCCCACCUGACGUGGGAGGGUGGGGCCUGGACUGACUCCAACUACAAAAGGUGAGGUUGCUGAACAGACUCUUAGGCCGGGGUGUUUGGGUUUCUUUGUUGAGCGCUGCUGGCUUUUUUGUAUUUGUAUUUUAGAUUUUGUUGUGAUUUAUGUGGGAAUUGUUCAGUUUGGUUUUGUAUUUUUUAAUGAUUUGUUUAUCGAUUUUGACUACUUUUGCUAUGUUGUGGUUAUGUAUUUGUUUCAUGUUGUAAGCCGCCUUGAGCAUGGUUUGAACUAUGGAAAGGCAGCGUACAGAUAAAAUUACGCAUGCGUGUAUGUAUAUCCUUAUUCUCCCAUGAGUUCAGGGAUUGCAAAACUGCAGUGUAGCCCUGCAAUGAGUAGCAUAUUCCGCACUAAUGCUGGUCUUAUCCUGUCUGAUUUGGCUCCUUUUAUCUCCCCCUCGCGCACAGCUGGCUCUGGUUAAACAUCUCGCGUCACUCCACGGGUAGGGAGACGGAAUGUGGGCAACAGCUCCGCCCAAACAUUGCUUUUUUGGCUUCUGAACUCCUUACAAGGUUCCCUGUCUCUUCCUUUAAAGAAAAAAAAACAACCCCAACAACCUAGUAUUGAUUUUCAUGCCAAUGUUGCAUUUUUUUUUCUUUUUUAACAGAAAGAAGGAAAAAGCAAGGUUGGGAACAGGGAAGCAGAUGUUAAUAUUUGCUGAAUCCUUCUUGUCUGUGAAGAUGGAUGAGUGACCUGCUUGCCAAAGCAGAGAGAAGCUUUUUGGGGUGAGGAAGAGUUCUGUAGAUGACAAGCUUAAUUCCCCGCCCCCAGUUAAGUAUUUUUGGCACAGGCAGAUCAAUACCAAGAGCUCUUAGUAACUGCCACGGGACACCCAACCAAAGCAAGAAAGCGUGAAAAAGAGACAUUUAAAGAGAGAGAGAGAGAACAACCAUCCCACCUCCACUUUCAAGGUGAGAAUGAUUCCAUGCUAAAGCCAGAGGUUUUACAUCCUACCGUGCUGUCCUCCUUUAAAGAACAGGAGAGACCAGUGCCAAUCACCAUGCGCCUAUCGCCCGCCUUACAUGUGCAGUAGCUACAUUGUAGCCCUGAACAUAUCCCAAAAGUUGGACUACCAGAAGCCCAUAGGACCCUCAGAACCAGAAAGAGAUGGGGAAGGAGAGAGCGAGCGGUUGAAGAGAUUGGGAACAUCCACCUGGAGUCGUUCUAGGAUCUUCUUGGAGUUGCCAUCAGUCAUUAUCUUUUGUCUGACUGAGACCCAGAAGCCAUCAAAGGACUCCACGGAAAUCUUAAAAGGAAAGAAGGUCCCGGCUGGCUUUGCUUAAACCUGAAACCAUUUUUAUACGGGACAUUAAUCCGGGGCCUGCUCAGAAACUCUAUGUAGUCCUCCGUUGCCUGGAACACUCAUAAAUUGUUCUGCCUCUCUCCACUUUCUCUCUCCCCCCUUUCCGUCUUUCUCUCUUUCUCUCUCAACUGUGGAAUCUGCUCUCUGGUGUAUUAGCCCUCCUAAUGGUUUUUCCUUUCUCUCGCUUUCCCUGACAGAAGGAAUUGCUGAGCAGAAGAUUCAGGAAAUAUCCUACUUGGGAAUGAAGAGGGAGGAUACUGGGGGACAGGGAGAAAGGGACUUGCUCCAAAAGCUGUUCCACCCACCCUGCCAGGGUUGCACCGUUUCCUGCAGAGGCGCAGGGUGGACGAAAUGAUACAAUGACAGUCGGGGCCGAUGUGUUGGCGGCGGGGGAAGCAGAGCGGCGGCAGGCACAACUUCGGAUCCCAGGAUUCUCCUUCCUCCUCUCCACCUGUCACGACGCAUUAGGCUCAAGCGUGCCCGGCUUGCCGAAGGAGUGACCCCAGACUGAAUGGGAGAGCGCUGGUGGAAAGAACUAAUUGUAGCCUCGUUUUCACACGUCAGUCACUUUUCACAGCGCUGGGCUUUCUGAAGCUCGACUAAUGUUCCUCCCCCCCUUCAAAUCCCAGUGCUGAAUUACGCUGAGAUGCACCCUGACGAUGGCGUUUCUAAAAGGAACAAGACCUCCAAUGGUGGCAGGAGUGGGGACAAUGGGAAGUGGCGCCUGCUGGCCUGAGCACUGAUGACUUGGUCUGUCAAAGCUUUAGUCUUCAGCCCUUUGGAACUUCUCCAAGUUUGACUCGGCACAAUUUCUGGAAGGUUAAAAGUACACUAGAUAAAGGAGCAAGUGUUUUAGAGAAACAAUUCCCUCCACAAUAGGCACGAUAAUCCCAUUUAUGUCGCUAUGUGCUUUGGGGGAAAGGGAGUUGUUUCCUGCUUCUCAGCGUUUACAUCGCACAUCUCUUUGCACAAUCGGCAGAACCCUUUAACGUGGGCAACAUCAGACCUGGAGGAAAAUGCAGCCCACUAUGUGGCCCUCAAGACCCUCCCUGGACCCCAUCGUGGCCCUGCUCCGUGUCCUUGAGAGUUUCUGCCUGAUGGCCUGAGUCCUUGGACUGGGAUCA